rnacentral:rRNA from 1 species
CACUCCUGCGGGAGGCAGCAGUGGGGAAUUUUGGACAAUGGGCGAAAGCCUGAUCCAGCAAUGCCGCGUGUGUGAAGAAGGCCUUCGGGUUGUAAAGCACUUUUGUCCGGAAAGAAAUCCUUGGCUCUAAUACAGUCGGGGGAUGACGGUACCGGAAGAAUAAGCACCGGCUAACUACGUGCCAGCAGCCGCGGUAAUACGUAGGGUGCGAGCGUUAAUCGGAAUUACUGGGCGUAAAGCGUGCGCAGGCGGUUUGCUAAGACCGAUGUGAAAUCCCCGGGCUCAACCUGGGAACUGCAUUGGUGACUGGCAGGCUAGAGUAUGGCAGAGGGGGGUAGAAUUCCACGUGUAGCAGUGAAAUGCGUAGAGAUGUGGAGGAAGACCGAUGGCGAAGGCAGCCCCCUGGGCCAAUACUGACGCUCAUGCACGAAAGCGUGGGGAGCAAACAGGAUUAGAAACCCCGGUAGUCCCAUG